rnacentral:siRNA from 1 species
CUCCGAAUGGUGAUUGCGUUUUGC